UACGUAGGGGGCAAGCGUUGUUCGGAAUUACUGGGCGUAAAGGGCGCGUAGGCGGCAUGGCAAGUCGGGAGUGAAAGCCCGGGGCUCAACCCCGGAACGGCUUUCGAAACUGCCAAGCUAGAGUACGGAAGGGGCAACUGGAAUUCCCAGUGUAGCGGUGAAAUGCGUAGAUAUUGGGAAGAACACCGGAGGCGAAGGCGGGUUGCUGGGCCGAUACUGACGCUGAGACGCGAAAGCGUGGGGAGCGAACAGG
rnacentral:rRNA from 1 species